rnacentral:hammerhead_ribozyme from 1 species
CUACUUCUGAAGAGUCCCAAAAUAGGACGAAACAGCUGUCCACUAU